UACGGGGGGAGCAAGCGUUGUUCGGAUUUACUGGGCGUAAAGGGCGCGUAGGCGGUCAGCACAAGUCAGUUGUGAAAUCUCCGGGCUUAACUCGGAAAGGUCAACUGAUACUGUGCGACUAGAGUGCAGAAGGGGCAACUGGAAUUCUCGGUGUAGCGGUGAAAUGCGUAGAUAUCGAGAGGAACACCUGCGGCGAAGGCGGUUCUCUGGGCAUUACCUGACGCUGAGGAGCGAAAGUGUGGGGAGCGAACAGG
rnacentral:rRNA from 1 species